ACAGCAAGAUUAAGCAGCAGCAGGGCCCGGUGCUUUCCAGCAGCCAGAAGAAUGCUGUGAUCAAGAUGUUUCUCUCACAUCCGUGUGCUUAGCCGCCCUUGGAUGUUUGGCCCCCAGAGCACCUAAUCCUGUCUCUGGGCACGCGGCCAGGCCUCGCUGGGAGCCAGGCGGGGCCCACGGGGCAGUGACAGGCUGAAGACUCAACUAGAGUCAAGGACAGGGUCUCCAGCCAGGGUGGCUUGCCUAGCCACCGACGUCUCCCAGGCCCACGGUCACAGCAGACUCCUGGUGAAGACACUGAACCCCCCACCAGCCCCAUGUCCUCCCUGGGCAGGGCAGGAGGGGCUGCUGGAGAGGCCAGGGAGGAGGUGUGGGGCCUCGGUGGCAUUGGCAGGCCACCCCCACAGAGCGGCCCAAAGGUGGAAUUUGGCCUUGUUUAGGGAGUGUUGGCCCAGCUGGCUUACCAAAACAGGAAAGGCCUUUGGAUACAGAAACUGGGUGUUUUCCUGCUGGAUCUUCAUGGUCCUCCCGUCAUGGUUGCCGGAAAAGGAAAUAUUUGACAACCAGCUCCUUGAAGAGCGGAACCGGCGCCGUCAGUGAUGGAGCAGCCGGCUGUGCUGUCAGCGGGGCCUGGCGGUGGAAGCGCCUCCAGUGUGCAUGAGCAUGUCUGAAGAUGGGGGGCUCAGGGGGGCACGUUUGCGUUUAGACCUGUCUGUGCGUUCUCCUGCGUGGCAGUCCUGAUUUCCAUACUUCUGGAGAAUGCAUUUCGUUAACAUUGAAAGCCAGUUCUCUUUUCCUGGCAGUUUUUUUCAUUUUAUUUUUGGCAUUUUUUACAAGAUACCGUUCGGGAAAGGCUUUUGAAAGGACGGAAGCGUAUUCACUGUGCGCCAGUACUCCUGGCUGUGCUGUGGUUUCUCCCGACGUGCACAUUUAUCUCCUAUGUGUGGCAUCUGAUAUUAAACGGGAGGUUUUAAGAAGCGUCUGCCGUGAUUAUGGAGCUUCGGAAGCGGGAAUGGUUCUUCCGGAUUUGCUGUUUUGUCUGUUUCCCCCUUGUGUGGUUUCCGCCCGUGACGGUUCCAGAAUUUGCUCUCCCACUCUGCUCUGCAGCUGUGAGGAAACAGCCUUCGUUAGAGGCGGGAGCAGAGACGAGCCGCUGCUCUGUGUCGUGUUUGCCGUGGCCGCAGGGAGAGGAGCGGGACACGCACCUUUCCAGGGGCCUCUGUGCUCCGCACUGUGCGAGUGGACCGCAGCGCGCAGCCACACGCCCUGGCUGCCAUGGGUCAGCCCGCCUGCACCUCCCCCGCUCGCCUGGCCUGUCCUGACGGGAUGUCUCUGCACUGUGUCGUCACUGCAUGGCCAGUCACCGCGGUCUCAGUCAUCGGCCCGGAUGGCUAUGCUGGGGUCCCAGGGUGGCCGCAGCAGUCAGGGUCGCUGUGGGAGCCCGGGGGUGGAGUGAGAAAAUGCGUUGUCCUGUGCCCGCCAUCGCAGAAGCGCAGCCUUUGUAUGGAAGCCCAACCGCGCUCCCGUCUGGAGAAACGACUUCCGGGGUGUGGCUGUCAGGUCGGCUCUGGUCCGCAACACGGUGCCGGGGCUGCAGGUUGCUGAAGACUGUGACUCCGUGGGGCUCAGCCAGGUUCCAGCAGGGUCAGAUGUGCUGUUAAGCAAAGCCACAGACGAUGAAUUGUUCAUUCUCAGCGGAUGCUCCAGGCUGCGCCUAGACAGCAGUGCUGGUGAAAUUUCCAGGGUUCCAGGGCCCGGUGGCCUGGGGGCUGCUUUCUCCCCACUGGCUGGGCUGCAUCUGGCCCUGGCUGGAGGCCUUGCUUUGAGGGGCUGUGACCUUCCUCCCCCAGGUCCUCCCCAGCUGCCCACAGCCACCGGAGAGGAGAUCGGAACACGAUUGUCUCAGAUGCGGGGCGCUGAGCGGGACGAGGCCGCAGGGACUCUCGUAUCGGGCCCUUGGGACUCGGGAGGUGCCAGAGGCGGCGGCUGCUCUGGAACUCGGUGUUCACUGGCCUUUGUUUCACUUGAUUCUGCUCAGUUCCGAGAGCAGGAAACCCGGCCCUGGCCUGCAGCUCUGCCUCCCAUGCCCGCACGCCGGGGUCUGUCUUGUCUGGAGGAGGCGGGGGUCAGGGGCGUCGGCCUUGGCCCCCUGCUGGUCGCUCUUUCGGGGACUUGGGGCGGCCAGUGUCACCGCCUGAGGCGGGGCUCAGCAGCGUUGCAUGUACGGGCCUCGUACUGCCUCAUGGAAAGUCCCCCCGAGCCGCCCUCCAUUGUGGGUUCCUGAGGGUAGGACACAUCGCCACGGUUUUGUGGGAAUCACGCGUCCCUGCUGGAACUCUUCUGCUGUUGUGAAGUACUUUUAUCCAUUUGCUUCUCUGCUGACCUUGCCAAGUUGUUCGAGGUGGAAUUAAACGCCUCCCAGAC
rnacentral:sRNA from 1 species